rnacentral:rRNA from 1 species
GAUGAACGCUAGCGGCAGGCCUAACACAUGCAAGUCGAGGGGCAGCAUAAAACAAGCUUGCUUGUUUGGUGGCGACCGGCGCACGGGUGCGUAACGCGUAUGCAACCUACCCUGUACUGGGGGAUAGCCCGGAGAAAUUCGGAUUAAGACCCCAUAGCACUUAAGAAUGGCAUCAUUCAUAAGUUAAAGGUUACGGUACAGGAUGGGCAUGCGUCCCAUUAGCUAGAUGGUAAGGUAACGGCUUACCAUGGCAACGAUGGGUAGGGGGCCUGAGAGGGUGGUCCCCCACACUGGUACUGAGACACGGACCAGACUCCUACGGGAGGCAGCAGUGAGGAAUAUUGGACAAUGGUCGGAAGACUGAUCCAGCCAUGCCGCGUGAAGGAUGAAGGCGCUCAGCGUUGUAAACUUCUUUUGUACGGGAACAAAAUGCGACCUGCGGGUUGUACUGAGGGUACCGUAAGAAUAAGCACCGGCUAACUCCGUGCCAGCAGCCGCGGU